CUCCUAUCAGCUUCCUGCUGCCCUUUCGCCUCUGGCCUGUAACGUGGUGGUUGCGUCUUGCGGUGCUCCGUACAUGUGCGGAGUAGCCAGCUGUGGAAUUCAGGCACAUGUGAGGGUGUCUUGAAAAUAGAGCACAUUUUCACCAUUUUAAAGAGAAACACUGGCAGGUGGACAAUGCACGUCGACUUAUCAGCAAAGGAACUUAUGCCCUGGUGAGUCUAAGAAGAAAUGUAAGAAGACAUUUAUUUGGGGUCAAGUGGUUCAUAUCUGUAGUCCUAGCACAUCCAAAGGAUAAUCAUUUGAAGCCAACUCAACAGAAGUCCUCAAGAUUCUCAUCUCCAAAACACCGACCAAAGAUCAGCCUGGAAACAUGGGUCAGGUGGUAGAAUGCAAGCCAAGCAAGUACAAAACCAUAUCAGCAAAAAUAUUAACACAAAACACCCAAAGUAGCUUUAAAGUCAUCACUACCCUUUCUCUAUCAUUCUUUUCCCAUACCGUGCUGUGAUGGAAACAAUUAGAUUGGCAGGAUAUACAAGCUGCCGAGCUGUCAUAGACAGAAGUUAACGAAAGAACCCUCAUUUUGUAGGGGGGAAAUAUUAAAGGUAAGUUGGGGACUAACUAAUAAGUACUAUUCUCAGUGCUCUCACCCCCUUUUUUGGUUACUGGUUAUGUAGGAAAGGGCUAAG